GAUGAACGCUGGCGGCGUGCUUAACACAUGCAAGUCGAACGGAAAGGCCCAAGCUUGCUUGGGUGCUCGAGUGGCGAACGGGUGAGUAACACGUGGGUGAUCUGCCCCGCACUUCGGGAUAAGCCUGGGAAACUGGGUCUAAUACCGGAUAGGACAUUGGUUUGGAUGGCAUUGGGUGGAGUGUUUCCGCGGUGGGGUGUGCUCGCGCCCUAUCUGCGUGUUGGUGGGGUAAUGGCGUAACACGGCGUCGUCGGGUAGCCGGCCUGAGAGGGUGUACGGGCACAUUGGGACUGAGAUACGGCCCAGACUCCGACGGGAGGCAGCAGUGGGGAAUAUUGCACAAUGGGCGCAAGCCGGAUGCAGCGACGCCGCGUGGGGGAUGACGGCCGUCGGGUUGUAAACUCCUUUCGCUAGGGACGAAGCGUUAUGUGACGGUACCUAGAGAAGAAGCACCGGCUAACUACGUG
rnacentral:rRNA from 1 species